CUGGCCGAUGUCGGCCCAAUAUCGAAACGUCGGCCUCUAUACCUAAAACAUCUAUAAAACAUCGGCCUGGCGGAGGCCGAUAUCAUUUGGUCAGUGCUCUGUUCUCCAGCUCAUCAGUCGUCGGCCCUGAGUUGGUUCACGACCGCGGGCCGAUGCUGCGCUUAUCUGUGUGCGCGUGCCCAGUAUUCGUCUCUUUUAGCCACCCAGAGAGAGAGAAGAGGAUAAUCCCAGCGACAUCUGUGGCUCUGAGGUAACGUUACGAUUUCACUUCAGCUCAAUUAGACAAAAAAUACUACUUUGUUAAUUCUGUGACACUGAAAAGGUACUGCGUUUAUACAGUCUAUGGGCAGCUGAAGAGUCUGGCUCAUUUUCAAAUAAUGUUACCGUUAACUUUUUGAGCCAACGGUCACGGUAGCGAUUUUUUAACAUUAAUGUUAACGCCUUAAUGCGUUUUCAGAAGUUUCUCGGAGGGAAAAUGUAAAAGCGGAUUAUUAAAGAGAAGUCCUGACUGCUUUUUCACCGUAUUUUUCACUCUUUUACAGGCUUCCAGAAAUAAUCCGGUGAAAUAAUAUGAUGUUUGUUUGUGUGAAUGCUGUGUGUGCGGUGAGUCCUGCGCGAGCGGGGAGCAGAGUUGCCAUGGAAACGGGGCGUCAACACAAAAACCGUUACUGGCAAGCAGUAAUCUCCGUCUCUUGCUGCAGUUUACACUGUUUUGGAAACGGUUUAGUGUCUUCGGAAAAGUCCGUUAUCAUUUUAGCAGUUUUUAGAUGUUUGUUUGUGUGAAUGCUGUAUGCGCGUUGAGUCCUGCGCGAUCGGGGAGCAGAGUUGCCAUGGAAACGGGGCGUCAACACAAAAACCAUUACUGGCAAACAGUAAUCUCCGUCUCUAGCUGCAGUUUACACUGUUUUAGGAGGACAGAAAGAAACUCUACAGAACAGAAGUGAAGCUCCAAGAUUUCAACAUUUAUGAAGGGAGAUACUGACUUAGAAAUACAGAUUGCUUGUUUUGUUCCUAAACUCUUCAGUGAUGACGAUCAGAGUCUGAGUGAACCUGCUGUCAGACAGGUUGGCCUGAUUGACGAUGCCAUCGUCCAUCGCCGAUGGCUGAUAGACAUCACGAUGCUGCGCCGGCAAACAGCAUCAUCAGCUCCAGUAUCUCGCCCGUGCAUCUGUUGUCAUGCGGAGAAGUCACGUUCUAUAGACAGUUUCUAUAGACAGUUGUGAGGGUGCUGACAGCUGGUUGCCCAGGCUAUGGAUUAAAGGUAAUACUGUUGGCCAGCAGAGCCCUGCUCACCCUGACGGCCCACCGCUGCUGUCAGACAACAUCUCCAAGAUGCUAUAAACUCCAGGACUAGAUGUCAAUCCCAAGGUUUCUAGAGAUUACAGCAGCUCCAGACUGAAUCCAAACUCACUUUUGAAGACUUCAGAUGACACCAACGCUCACAAAGACUACAGACGACAACUGUAGAUGAACACACAAAACAUUGGACACACAAAACAAAUAUUAUCCUUAUUUUGCCUAUAAGGGUAAAUUUGAUGAUUUUCAAACUGCUUUAUUGUAACGUCUCUUAUAUCUGUAAAUGAACAAUAUUUAC